CAAGGAAUCUUGCGCAAUGGGCGAAAGCCUGACGCAGCGACACCGCGUGGGGGAAGAAGGCCCUAGGGUUGUAAACCCCUUUUCUCGGGGAAGAGUAAGGACGGUACCCGAGGAAUAAGGUUCGGCUAACUACGUGCCAGCAGCCGCGGUAAUACGUAGGAACCGAGCGUUGUCCGGAUUUACUGGGCGUAAAGGGCGCGUAGGCGGCCCGUUAAGUCUCAUGUGAAAUCUCCCGGCCCAACUGGGAGGGGUCAUGGGAAACUGGCGGGCUCGAGGGCAGCAGAGGAGAGUGGAAUUCCCGGAGUAGUGGUGAUAUGCGUAGAUACCGGGAGGAACACCCGAGGCGAAGGCGACUCUCUGGGCUGAUCCUGACGCUGAGGCGCGAAAGCAUGGGGAGCAAACCGG
rnacentral:rRNA from 2 species